UACAGAGGUGGUAAGCGUUGUUCGGAAUUACUGGGCGUAAAGGGCGCGUAGGCGGCCUGCUAAGUCGAACGUGAAAUCCCUGGGCUCAACCCAGGAACUGCGUCCGAUACUGGUUGGCUUGAAUCCGGGAGAGGGAUGUGGAAUUCCAGGUGUAGCGGUGAAAUGCGUAGAUAUCUGGAGGAACACCGGUGGCGAAGGCGACAUCCUGGACCGGUAUUGACGCUGAGGCGCGAAAGCCAGGGGAGCAAACGGG
rnacentral:rRNA from 1 species